rnacentral:rRNA from 1 species
AUGCAGGGCUUGACCCUUGCAAUUCAGCAUUCUCAUCUCCCGGUGGUGGUGCAAACGGACUCCUCUGAAGCGCUAUCAUGUUUGACCAAUGACGCACUUCUUCGCUCGGCUUACGGACAGAUUGUCUUGGAGAUCAAGGACCUGUUAGGUAGCAGGGAGUUUUUUCCUCAAAAGAUUUCUAGAUUUCAGAAUAGAGUUGCCCAAUUGGCUAAGUAUAGUCGAACCGAGCGUGCCACUGCAGUUUGGCUAGGCUCGGUUCCACCUUGUAUCGAGGACUUGUGGCCUCUUGACUGUAACUCUUUACCCAUGCAAUAA